UGAAUGUGCUGAUGUUACACUCACAAACAUCACUUUCAAAAUGGUUUAAAAUCAGACCAUACUGGCAUCAUUAAAUGGAGAACAUCUCCUAAAUAUUCACAUCAUCAACCUGUCCAGCUCCCAGGCUACACCUCCUAAGUGUAAUAUUCAGUUAUGUUUCUACUCUAUUUCAUUUGUGAUUUUAAAUAAUUCCUCUGCCUUGGAUUUCACAAGUGAUUUUAUAUGAUAUUCCCCUCGGAUUUUAUAUUAUUAUCCAAGAAAGAAGAGGUUUCUUUAAUUAGGGCAUUGUUGUUAAUAUUUAUCCUGAUGGAUAUAUUUAUAUACUUUAUUUUGGAAUUCAUAGACUGUAGAUUUUUUUUUCCACAGAAAAGGAGUAUCGUUACUGCACAAAUAAAUUGUAUCUUCCAACUCAUUUGGUUUAUCAGCUGAAAUAAAUAUGCCAAAUACCGGAAUUCACUCUCA